AUUGAACGCUGGCGGCAGGCCUAACACAUGCAAGUCGAGCGGCAGCGGGACCUUCGGGUUGCCGGCGAGCGGCGGACGGGUGAGUAAUGCCUAGGAAUCUGCCCGUUAGUGGGGGAUAACUCGGGGAAACUCGGGCUAAUACCGCAUACGUCCUACGGGAGAAAGUGGGGGAUCUUCGGACCUCACGCUAACAGAUGAGCCUAGGUCGGAUUAGCUAGUAGGUGAGGUAAUGGCUCACCUAGGCGACGAUCCGUAACUGGUCUGAGAGGAUGAUCAGUCACACUGGAACUGAGACACGGUCCAGACUCCUACGGGAGGCAGCAGUGGGGAAUAUUGGACAAUGGGCGAAAGCCUGAUCCAGCCAUGCCGCGUGUGUGAAGAAGGUCUUCGGAUUGUAAAGCACUUUAAGUUGGGAGGAAGGGUAUUCACCUAAUACGUGGGUACUUUGACGUUACCAACAGAAUAAGCACCGGCUAACUCUGUGCCAGCCGCCGCGGUAAGAC
rnacentral:rRNA from 1 species